rnacentral:rRNA from 1 species
AUUGAACGCUGGCGGCAGGCCUAACACAUGCAAGUCGAGCGCGCGGCGGGCGGGUGAGUAAUGUAUGUGGGCUGCGCGUUAGGGGGGGGUAACUCCUGGAGACGGUGGAUACUAUCGCAUACUCUCGCGUAACCCAUAUGGGAUUAGCUCGUAGGUAAGGUAAUGGCUUACCUAGGCGACGCUCCCUAGCUGGUCUGAGAGGAUGAUCAGCCACACUGGGACUGAGACACGGCCCAGACUCCUACGGAGGCAGCAGUGGGGAAUAUUGCACAAUGGGCGCAAGCCUGAUGCAGCCAUGCCGCGUGUAUGAAGAAGGCCCUAGGGUUGUAAAGUACCUUCAGUCGGGAGGCGUUACCGACAGAAGAAGCACCGGCUAACUCCGUGCCAGCAGCCGCGGUAAUUC